UUUCCGGUUGAUCCUGCCGGACCUGACUGCUAUCGGAUUGGUACUAAGCCAUGCGAGUCAUUGUAGCAAUACAAGGCGGACGGCUCAGUAACACGUAGUCAACCUAACUCGUGGACGUGGAUAACCUCGGGAAACUGAGAAUAAACCGCGAUAGACCAUAGUGCCUGGAAUGGCCUAUGAUCAAAAUAGUUUACUGCCAUGGGAUGGGACUGCGGCCUAUCAGCUUGUUGGUGAGUGUAAUGGCCCACCAAGGCGAUUACAGGUACGGUCGG
rnacentral:rRNA from 1 species